rnacentral:tRNA from 1 species
UUCGCUCUGCUCGGCGAGGGCAUGGGGUGGCUGCAGGUGCUGUGCAUGGGGCUGAUCCUGGGCGGCGUGCUGCUCGGCUCGGCGGGGCGGAA